rnacentral:rRNA from 1 species
AUUGAACGCUGGCGGCAUGCUUUACACAUGCAAGUCGAACGGGGUGAAGGGGCAACUCUUCAUUCAGUGGCGAACGGGUGAGUAAUGCAUCGGAACGUACCUCGUAGUGGGGGAUAACUCGGCGAAAGCCGUGCUAAUACCGCAUAUGCUCUACGGAGGAAAGCAGGGGACCUGAAAGGGCCUUGCGCUAUGGGAGCGGCCGAUGUCCGAUUAGCUAGUUGGUGGGGAAUGGCCUACCAAGGCGACGAUCGGUAGCUGGUCUGAGAGGAUGAUCAGCCACACUGGGACUGAGACACGGCCCAGACUCCUACGGGAGGCAGCAGUGGGGAAUUUUUGACAAUGGGGGAAACCCUGAUCGAGCGACGCCGCGUGGAGGAUGAAGGUCUUCGGGUUGUAAACUCCUGUCAUUUGAGAACAAGGUGCACCGGUUAACUGCCGGUGCAUUGAU